rnacentral:rRNA from 1 species
UACGUAGGUGGCAAGCGUUGUCCGGAAUUAUUUGGGCGUAAGGCGCGACGCAGGUGGUUUCUUAAGUCUGAUGUGAAAGCCCCGCGGCUCAACCCGGUGGAGGGUCACUUGGGAAACUGGGAGACUUGAGUGCAGAAGAGGAUAGUGGGAAUUCCGAAGUGUAGCGGUGAAAUGCGUAGAGAUUUGGAGGAACACCAGUGGCGAAGGCGACUAUCUGGUCUGUAACUGACACUGAGGCGCGAAAGCGUGGGGAGCAAACAGG